rnacentral:rRNA from 1 species
UACGGAGGGGGCUAGCGUUGUUCGGAAUUACUGGGCGUAAAGCGCACGUAGGCGGACUGUUAAGUCGGGGGUGAAAUCCUGGGGCUCAACCUCAGAAUUACCUCCGAUACUGGCAGUCUCGAGUGCGGGAGAGGUGAGUGGAAUUCCCAGUGUAGAGGUGAAAUUCGUAGAUAUUGGGAAGAACACCAGUGGCGAAGGCGGCUCACUGGCCCGUAACUGACGCUGAGGUGCGAAAGCGUGGGGAGCAAACAGG